rnacentral:rRNA from 1 species
GACGAACGCUGGCGGCGUGCUUAACACAUGCAAGUCGAACGGAAAGGCCCUGCUUUUGUGGGGUGCUCGAGUGGCGAACGGGUGAGUAACACGUGAGUAACCUGCCCUUGACUUUGGGAUAACUUCAGGAAACUGGGGCUAAUACCGGAUAGGAGCUCCUGCUGCAUGGUGGGGGUUGGAAAGUUUCGGCGGUUGGGGAUGGACUCGCGGCUUAUCAGCUUGUUGGUGGGGUAGUGGCUUACCAAGGCUUUGACGGGUAGCCGGCCUGAGAGGGUGACCGGCCACAUGGGGACUGGGUUACGGCCCAGACUCCUACGGGAGGCAGCGGUGGGAAAUAUUGCACAAGGGGCGGAGGCCUGAUGCAGCAACGCCGCGUGCGGGAUGACGGCCUUGGGGUUGUAAACCGCUUUCGCCGGUAACGAGGCGUUAGUGACGGUAAUGAGUAAAGAAGCACCGGCUAACUACGUG